ensembl:snoRNA
AGCCACAGAACAGACUCGUCAAGGGGCUUGUCCUGUGCAGUGGGCUGAUCCCAGGACAGUGGUGGCUAUAUAAAGUCAGGUUUUGCUUUCACCUCUGCACUAUUGGUUGCUGAAUGGUGACAAUGAGGCCUGGCACAUUC